GCUGAUUGACCAGACUGUUUGCCCAAGACUGUUUGGGCAAACAGCGGAGCAAGACAGAAACAGAGCAAGAGUAGACAGCAGUGAUCCCAGACAGCCUGUUUGCCCAAACAGCACUGGGCAAACAGCACCAGCAGACAGAAAACCAGCAGAAUCUAUCAAACUUGCUGACCAAGUCAACACGAAUCUCCACGCACUCCAAACACGUGGGACAGCUCAGAAACACCUAAUUACACCUCAGCACACUCUCCUACAUAUUUAGGAAGCCAAGAAUAAAAAAGACACAAUUGCC
rnacentral:lncRNA from 1 species